rnacentral:lncRNA from 12 species
AAGCCAGAGCAGGAGAAACACACAGGCUUCCAGUAAUCUGCAAAGAAGUUCUGCUAAAUCAUGCUUGGCUCCUCCUACAGCAAGCCCAGUAGUGUGUGAGAGCAUUUCUCCGGCAGAUGCAUGGCCCUACUGCGAUGACAUAAAGGCCUAGUGGCUAAAAUUGUUCUUGAAGCUCCUGCCUUCUGUUAUCUGGACAGUAGCCAUGCCUGUCCCAGGAACUUUCUGAAGGAUCCUAAGCUACAGCAGAUUAUACCAGAGAAAUGGAGUUGAGAUGACCUUUCCAAGACCAUCAAGUAUGGGCAUAUCUGAUCUCCUGGGGGCAGAGAAUGUUCUCUGGAUUAGUUGAUUUCCUUCAUCAUGUUCUGUUCCAUUUAUUUUCUAGGAGACCACCUAAAAAUGCAUAGGGCAGAUGCUUCCCAGAUUGAAACAUGGAAAAAGGAGGUCCACAUAGGCCAAUCCUGCUCUUCCCCAGGAAGUUCCUAUAGAAUAAAAUCAACAUCGUGUGCUCAAUUUUUCUUUUCAUUCUUGAAGACAGUUGCUAGAAAAGGCAGCCAAUAGAUGGCUUAGCUCUUGCAAAACUGAAACGGAACUGGAUGUUACUGGUCCCUCAAGUGAAACAUUCAUCACUGAAGAUCAAACUUUGUUUUGCUUUUGAUAUCAAGAACAUGUUUCUAUUCCUCUUCCACUUAGGGAUUAUAUUGAUCUAGUACCAUUUAUAAUUUUCCAGUUGCACGGGGUCAUGAUAUGACUUAUAUAAAUUAUACAUACAUUAUGGAAAUAGCGCAAGUAGCAAAGAGGGCCACUUACUGUGAACUCAGCCACUGCUGUCUUCCCAAUAUUCCUGCAGAAAUGAGGUGAAGGAAUGUGUGUGAAUCUGUAUAACAGUGCCUGGCAAAUAAUACACACAACAAACGAAAUGAUUUUUUUGACCUGGAGAAAUAUCUAGUUGACUGUAUUGUCUGAAUCAUAUUAACCAUUUUUGAACAGUAUCUUAUAAUCUAACUUAAAAACAUUUGUAAGUGGAGGAGAAAAGUUGGACCAAAUACACUGGUCUGGAAAUUUCUCUCUUCAUCUUGUGAACUACACACAUUUUUAACCAACUGCUGAAUGAUAUUGGCACAGAUCAUUGGAAAUUCCUCCUUAUUUUUCCUGUCCUUGGUGUUAAGAAAAAAUUUUAAACUAUUUCCUUUUUUGUAAAGCAUCUGAAAGGCGAGUUGUGUAAAUUUACUCAUUAAUAAUUUUAAAGUGCUUUGUAAAUGCUUAUUACCGAUGGAAUUAUGGCUUACCAAACAGACAAUGAAGUUAGACAAACAUAACUUCUAAAUCCAGUAGCAGGGAUCAGAGUCUUUUCUGGAUGCCUCUGGGGGAACUCUUACUAAAUAGAGAUCACAGUUUAAAGACAAAAAAAAAAAAUCAAUGUACUUUCUUAGAGCUGAUGUGGACCAAAUAUUACCAGAAUCAGUGGCUCUGUAGCUAUUCCAAAACAUAGGUAUCACACUCUCUUCUUCAGAGAAUUAGCUAAUUUUAGAAACACUGAGUUGAAAUCUUUAUGAAUCAACUUUUUCAGAUUUACAAAGUUUCAGUCAAUUAUAAAAACUUAAAGGAUUGUGCAAGAACCCCUCCCCUGAAAACAGUUCAGGAAUAUAGCCUGUCAAAUUCACUUGGUAAUAAUGUGUUUAAUGUAGACAGAGAAUUUAGGUUGCUGCCUUAGCCACUCAUCAACUAAGAAUUAAAGAUGUAGAGGGCUGGGUCUCAGGUGAGGUAGGAGGAGGACAGCUUUUAUGGGGUGGACCAAGCAACAAUUCCAUUUAAGAGAGCAAAUAUGAAAAUAAAGACAUUUUUUAUUUUUAAUAAAUUAAUUUU